AUACUUACCUGGCAGGGGAGAUACCAUGAUCACGAAGGUGGUUUUCCCAGGGCGAGGCUUAUCCAUUGCACUCCGGAUGUGCUGACCCCUGCGAUUUCCCCAAAUGUGAGAAACUCGACUGCAUAAUUUGUGAUAGUGGGGGACUGCGUUCGCGCUUUCCCCUG
rnacentral:snRNA from 1 species